rnacentral:rRNA from 1 species
AUGAACGCUGGCGGCGUGCCUCAUACAUGCAAGUCGAGCGAACAGACGAGGAGCUUGCUCCUCUGACGUUAGCGGCGGACGGGUGAGUAACACGUGGAUAACCUACCUAUAAGACUGGGAUAACUUCGGGAAACCGGAGCUAAUACCGGAUAAUAUAUUGAACCGCAUGGUUCAAUAGUGAAAGACGGUUUUGCUGGCACUUAUAGAUGGAUCCGCGCCGCAUUAGCUAGUUGGUAAGGUAACGGCUUACCAAGGCAACGAUGCGUAGCCGACCUGAGAGGGUGAUCGGCCACACUGGAACUGAGACACGGUCCAGACUCCUACGGGAGGCAGCAGUAGGGAAUCUUCCGCAAUGGGCGAAAGCUUGACGGAGCAACGCCGCGUGAGUGAUGAAGGUCUUCGGAUCGUAAAACUCUGUUAUUAGGGAAGAACAAAUGUGUAAGUAACUAUGCACGUCUUGACGGUACCUAAUCAGAAAGCCACGGCUAACUACGUG